GGACUGUAGCUCAAUGGUAGAGCGCCUGCCUUGCACGUGUGAGACACUGGGUUCGAUCCUCAGCACCA
rnacentral:tRNA from 1 species